rnacentral:rRNA from 1 species
AGCGUUGUUCGGAAUUACUGGGCGUAAAGGGCGCGUAGGCGGCCUGCUAAGUCGGACGUGAAAUCCCCCGGCUCAACCGGGGAACUGCGUCCGAUACUGGUGGGCUCGAAUCCGGGAGAGGGAUGUGGAAUUCCAGGUGUAGCGGUGAAAUGCGUAGAUAUCUGGAGGAACACCGGUGGCGAAGGCGGCAUCCUGGACCGGUAUUGACGCUGAGGCGCGAAAGCCAGGGGAGCAAACGGG